rnacentral:rRNA from 1 species
GACAGAGGAUGCAAGCGUUAUCCGGAAUGAUUGAGCGUAAAGCGUCUGUAGGUGGCUUUUUAAGUCUGCCGUCAAAUCCCAGGGCUUAACCCUGGACAGGCGGUGGAAACUACCAAGCUGGAGUACGGUAGGGGCAGGGGGAAUUUCCGGUGGAGCGGUGAAAUGCGUAGAGAUCGGAAAGAACACCAACGGCGAAAGCACUCUGCUGGGCCGACACUGACACUGAGAGACGAAAGCUAGGGGAGCGAAUGGG